UACGUAGGGGGCAAGCGUUGUCCGGAAUUAUUGGGCGUAAAGCGCGCGCAGGCGGCUAGUUAAGUCAGAUGUGAAAGGCUGCGGCUCAACCGCAGAGCUGCAUCUGAAACUGAUUAGCUUGAGUGCAGGAGAGGAUAGUGGAAUUCCCGGUGUAGCGGUGGAAUGCGUAGAGAUCGGGAGGAACACCAGUGGCGAAGGCGACUGUCUGGACUGUAACUGACGCUGAGGCGCGAAAGCGUGGGGAGCAAACAGG
rnacentral:rRNA from 1 species